UGGCGGCAGGCCUACACAUGCUUCUCGAGCGGAAGAACAGGAUUUGUCUUCUCUGCAUGGGGGGGGAGUGGCGUGAGUAAUGCCUAUGCAUCGGCAUGUACUCUGGCGUGGGCGAUUCCAAAGGAACAUCUUAUACUGCUAACGCCNNNNNNCUAAAGGUGAGGGCACGUCAUCUCCUUGACCUUGCACAUGAGCAUGAGCCGAAGUAGCAUUAUGUAGGUGGAGUGGCUCAGGCCCGCCACGGUCACUAUCUGGACUGGGACGAUGAUGAUGCUCACUGGACACUGAAACUCGGACCAGACUCCUACUCCAAGGGGCGGUGGCGAAGAUUAAUCUACGCCCAAGAGCCUGAUCCUGACCUGCCGAGAGCGCGAGGAAGAACAACGGCUUCGGAAGGAUUUUCCCUUGAGAUGAAAAACACUCCAUCUGACCUAGUAUGCGGCUGCGAUAACGAUACCCU
rnacentral:rRNA from 1 species